rnacentral:rRNA from 1 species
UACGAAGGGGGCUAGCGUUGCUCGGAAUCACUGGGCGUAAAGGGUGCGUAGGCGGGUUUUUAAGUCAGGGGUGAAAUCCUGGAGCUCAACUCCAGAACUGCCUUUGAUACUGAAGAUCUUGAGUUCGGGAGAGGUGAGUGGAACUGCGAGUGUAGAGGUGAAAUUCGUAGAUAUUCGGAAGAACACCAGUGGCGAAGGCGGCUCACUGGCCCGGUACUGACGCUGAGGUGCGAAAGCGUGGGGAGCAAACAGG